AGUCGAGCGGCAGCACAAGUGAGUUUACUCAUGAGGUGGCGAGCGGCGGACGGGUGAGUAAUGCCUAGGGAUCUGCCCAGUCGAGGGGGAUAACAGUUGGAAACGACUGCUAAUACCGCAUACGCCCUACGGGGGAAAGGAGGGGACCUUCGGGCCUUCCGCGAUUGGAUGAACCUAGGUGGGAUUAGCUAGUUGGUGAGGUAAUGGCUCACCAAGGCGACGAUCCCUAGCUGUUCUGAGAGGAUGAUCAGCCACACUGGGACUGAGACACGGCCCAGACUCCUACGGGAGGCAGCAGUGGGGAAUAUUGCACAAUGGGGGAAACCCUGAUGCAGCCAUGCCGCGUGUGUGAAGAAGGCCUUCGGGUUGUAAAGCACUUUCAGUAGGGAGGAAAGGGUAAGUCUUAAUACGGCUUAUCUGUGACGUUACCUACAGAAGAAGGACCGGCUAACUCCGUGCCAGCAGCCGCGGUAAUACGGAGGGUCCGAGCGUUAAUCGGAAUUACUGGGCGUAAAGCGUGCGCAGGCGGUUUGUUAAGCGAGAUGUGAAAGCCCUGGGCUCAACCUAGGAAUAGCAUUUCGAACUGACAAACUAGAGUCUUGUAGAG
rnacentral:rRNA from 1 species